AGGGCGCAGGGCGGAUGCCUUGGCUCUGGGAAGCGAAGAAGGACGUGGCCAGCUGCGAUAAGCCUCGGGGAAGAGCAAACAUCUUUUGAUCCGGGGAUUUCCGAAUGGGGUAACCCGCAUGGCUGUUGAGGCCAUGCACUGUUGAGUGAAUACAUAGCUCAUCAGGGCGAACUUGGGGAACUGAAACAUCUCAGUACCCAAAGGAAUAGAAAUCAACCGAGAUUCUGCUAGUAGCGGCGAGCGAACGCGGAAGAGCCCAAACCACCGGGUACGCCCGGUGGGGUUGUAGGGCCGCCAACAAAGGAUAAUUGGAGGAUUAGCUGAAGUGUCUGGGAAGGCACGGCAUAGAGGGUUAGACCCCCGUAAGCGAAAGUCUGAAGAUGUCCGAGGCGGUACCUGAGUAGGACGGGACACGAGAAAUCCUGUUUGAAUCUGGGGGGACCACCCUCCAAGGCUAAAUAUUACCCAGAGACCGAUAGUGUACCAGUACCGUGAGGGAAAGGUGAAAAGAACCUCGAACAGAGGAGUGAAAUAGUUCCUGAAACCCUGCGUCUACAAGCAGUGGAAGCAAUGCUGAUCUUCGGAUCACGUGCGACCGCGUGCCUUUUGCAUAAUGAGCCAACGAGUUGUCUGUCGGUGGCAGGUUAAGUUUAUAACGAAGCCACAGCGAAAGCGAGUUCGAAAUGAGCGUUCAGUCCCCGGCAACAGACCCGAAACCGAGUGAUCUACCCCUGUCCAGGUUGAAGCCUGGGUAAGACCAGGUGGAAGACCGAACCGUUGAGCCUUAAAACGUUCUCGGAUGAGGUGGGGGUAGGAGUGAAAGGCUAAUCAAACUCGGAGAUAGCUGGUUCUCCCCGAAAUAUAUUGAGGUAUAGCCUCGUGAUAGACCGCCGGAGGUAGAGCACUGGAUGGACUAGGGCCCUCACCAGGGUACCAAACCCAACCAAACUGCGAAUACCGGCGAGUUGUUUCACGGGAGUCAGACAGCGGGAGCUAACUUUCGUUGUCGAAAGGGAAACAACCCAGACCAUCAGCUAAGGCCCCCAAGUCAUGACUAAGUGGGAAAGGAAGUGGGAGCGCCCAGACAACCAGGAGGUUGGCUUAGAAGCAGCCAUCCUUUAAAGAAAGCGUAACAGCUCACUGGUCAAGUCGACUUGCGCGGAAGAUUUAACGGGGCUUAAGCUGUAUACCGAAGUUGCGAAUGCUUAUUUUAUUAUAAGCGUGGUAGGGGAGCGUUCUGUAAGUCACUGAAGGUGUAUUGCGAGAUAUGCUGGAGAUAUCAGAAGUGAGAAUGCUGACAUGAGUAACGAUAAUGCGGGUGAAAAACCCGCACGCCGAAAACCCAAGGUUUCCUGCGCAACGUUAAUCGGCGCAGGGUUAGUCGGUACCUAAGGCGAGACCGAAAGGUGUAGUCGAUGGACAACAGGUUAAUAUUCCUGUACCGCGUAUACUGCGAUGGGGUGACGGAGAAGGCUAAGUUUACCGGGUGUUGGUUAUCCCGGGGAAAGUAUGUAGGUAGGAAGCUUUGGAAAAUCCGGGCUUCUAUUACUGAGGUACGAGACCAUUGAUUUUUUAAUCAAGAAGUAACUGAUGCCAUGCUUCCAAGAAAAGCCUCUAAGCUUCAGGUAUUACGCGACCGUACCCCAAACCGACACAGGUGGGUGGGAUGAGAAUUCUAAGGCGCUUGAGAAAACUCUGGUGAAGGAACUAGGCAAAUUGGUACCGUAACUUCGGGAGAAGGUACGCCUAUAUCGGUGAUGGAACUUGCUUCCUAAGCUGAUGUAGGUCACAGAAACUAGGUGGCUGCGACUGUUUAAUAAAAACACAGCACUCUGCUAACUCGCAAGAGGACGUAUAGGGUGUGACGCCUGCCCGGUGCCGGAAGGUUAAUUGAUGGGGUUAGCGCAAGCGAAGCUCUUGAUCGAAGCCCCGGUAAACGGCGGCCGUAACUAUAACGGUCCUAAGGUAGCGAAAUUCCUUGUCGGGUAAGUUCCGACCUGCACGAAUGGCGUAACGAUGGCCACACUGUCUCCACCCGAGACUCAGUGAAAUUGAAAUCGCGGUGAAGCUGUCUCUUAUACAAUCUCGAGCCCACGAGACGCUACGCUAUCUCGUAUGCCGUCUUCUGCUUGAAAAAAAAAAAAAAAAAAAAAAAAUAGCACAGAACAUCUGCACACUAGUGACACAUAUCACCGAUAUUCAUCAUGUAUAUGCAUUCUAUCAUACCACCCAUACAUCCACAAAACACG
rnacentral:rRNA from 1 species